rnacentral:lncRNA from 1 species
UAACUAAAGAUAGAAUGAUCUGUCCAUCCUGGAUUAUAAUGUUGGAAAAUUAGCCAUAUCUCCCUUGUGGUUGACUAAGAAAUCCACCUAUUACAUUGACCUACGGUUGGUCAUCUUCUUAAAGUGUAGAACACGUUUCUAGGAUGUUCCAAAUUUGCACAAAUUCCACAAACUCUAACUUCCUGAGUGUCACCUACAACUAUGUUUUGCACCAAAGUAGUUAGUUGUGAAAUAUGGGAUUCAAUGGAAGAUAUAUUUACCUCAUUCACCCUUCUUGGGGUGUCUUAUAUGUUUUCGCAUUGCUAUGAAGUGGCAGCCAUGAUUGCUAUUAAAUCUCUAUCUUGUCGAGGCAUUUUAUUCACUAUGACACCCACUUAGCCGCAUCCAACAUCCUUCUUUCUG